UACGUAGGGGGCAAGCGUUGUCCGGAAUCAUUGGGCGUAAAGAGCGUGUAGGCGGCCCGGUAAGUCCGCUGUGAAAGUCCAGGGCUCAACCCUGGGAUGCCGGUGGAUACUGUCGGGCUCGAGUCCGGAAGAGGAGUGUGGAAUUCCUGGUGUAGCGGUGAAAUGCGCAGAUAUCAGGAGGAACACCAAUGGCGAGGGCAGCACUCUGGGACGUGACUGACGCUGAGACGCGAAAGCGUGGGGAGCAAACAGG
rnacentral:rRNA from 1 species